rnacentral:tmRNA from 1 species
GGGGCUGAUUCUGGAUUCGACGGGAUUUGCGAAACCCAAGGUGCAUGCCGAGGGGCGGUUGGCCUCGUAAAAAGCCGCAAAAAAAUAGUCGCAAACGACGAAACCUACGCUUUAGCAGCUUAAUAACCUGCUUAGAGCCCUCUCUCCCUAGCCUCCGCUCUUAGGACGGGGAUCAAGAGAGGUCAAACCCAAAAGAGAUCGCGUGGAUGCCCUGCCUGGGGUUGAAGCGUUAAAACGAAUCAGGCUAGUCUGGUAGUGGCGUGUCCGUCCGCAGGUGCCAGGCGAAUGUAAAGACUGACUAAGCAUGUAGUACCGAGGAUGUA